rnacentral:rRNA from 1 species
AACGAACGCUGGCGGCAGGCUUAACACAUGCAAGUCGAACGCCCCGCAAGGGGAGUGGCAGACGGGUGAGUAACGCGUGGGAAUCUACCGUACCCUACGGAACAACAGUUGGAAACGACUGCUAAUACCGUAUACGCCCUACGGGGGAAAGAUUUAUCGGGGUAUGAUGAGCCCGCGGUGGAUUAGCUAGUUGGUGGGGUAAAGGCCUACCAAGGCGACGAUCCAUAGCUGGUCUGAGAGGAUGAUCCGCCACAUUGGGACUGAGACACGGCCCAAACUCAUACGUGAGGCAGCAGUGGGGAAUAUUGGACAAUGGGCGCAAGCCUGAUCCAGCCAUGCCGCGUGAGUGAUGAAGGUCUUAGGAUUGUAAAGCUCUUUCACCGAUGAAGAUAAUGACGGUAGUCGGAGAAGAAGCCCCGGCUAACUUCGUGCCAGCCGCCGCCGUAA